UGCAUGUGGAGAGAAGAGAGAGCAUUUUUUGAAGAAAAGGAAAUCCAUUUAAGAAAUCUUUUUACCUACAAAACAAACCAUGAUGAUUCUAGAAAAAGCGAACACAAAAACCACACAAAAAAAAAAAAGUUACACGAGAAAAAUAUAACAAAGAAAAAAAAAAUAGUAAAAAAUUCAACCAGGAAGCACAGCAAGGAAUGUAAGGAUCAAACAAAAGACAGAAAAGCAAACAAGAGAAUUUUCGUCGUUGUCGUCGUCCUGUGCCAAACCAAACGAAGGCACAGUGCGAUACAUAAAUAAUGCUACCAUCUCUAACCAUAUCUUUGCUACAUCGCUUCAUCUUCAUCCUCGUCCAUCCACAUUUAUACCAAUUCACACAGAGUUUGGGCAGCAUGGAUAUGCAUGCAGGCAGACAAACCAACAUACCACCAGCCACGGACGGACGAGAUGGUCCAAUGAACAGACAAACUGAUACAGGGGCGGUCUGUUCGUUUUAGC